CAAUAGCGUAUAUUAAAGUUGUUGCGGUUAAAAAGCUCGUAGUUGAAUUUCAGCCCAAGGAACCGGCGAACUAUGUUCGAUCUGGAUUUUGACGGCACACCGAGGUUGUUAUAUUGGUACUUAAUUGUGCCAUAUGAUGCCUCGACAUUUACUUUGAGGAAAUUAGAGUGUUUCAAGCAGGCGUUUGCCUUGUAUACAUUAGCAUGGAAUAAUAAAAUAGGAUUUCGGUUUUAUUUUGUUGGUUUCUAAAACUGAGAUAAUGAUGAAUAGGAACUGUCGGGGGCAUUCGUAUUUAACAGUCAGAGGUGGAAUUCUUGGAUUUGUUAAAGACGAACUAGUGCGAAAGCAUUUGCCAAGGAUGUUUNCAUUG
rnacentral:rRNA from 1 species